UUGGAGGGCAAGUCUGGUGCCAGCAGCCGCGGUAAUUCCAGCUCCAAUAGCGUAUAUUAAAGUUGUUGCAGUUAAAAAGCUCGUAGUUGAAUUUCGGGAUCAAUAUGUCGGUCGUGCCUUCGGUACGUACUGGUAUCAUUGGUCUCUCCUUUCUGACGAACCAUGAUGUCAUUAAUUUGGUAUUAUGGGGAGUUAGGACUGUUACUUUGAAAAAAUUAGAGUGUUUAAAGCAGGCUUUAGCUUGAAUACAUUAGCAUGGAAUAAUGAAAUAGGACGUUCGAACCUAUUUUGUUGGUUUCUAGGAUCAACGUAAUGAUUAAUAGGGAUAGUUGGGGGCAUUAGUAUUCAAUUGUCAGAGGUGAAAUUCUUGGAUUUAUUGAAGACUAACUACUGCGAAAGCAUUUGCCAAGGAUGUUUUCAUUAAUCAAGAACGAAAGUUAGGGGAUCGAAGACGAUCAGAUACCGUCGUAGUCUUAACCAUAAACUAUGCCGACUAGGGAUCGGAUGAUGUUAAUUUUUUAAUGACUCAUUCGGCGCCUUACGGGAAAC
rnacentral:rRNA from 1 species